GUAACUUCAGCAGCACAUUUACUAAAAUUAGAACGACACAGAAAUUAGCAUGGCCCCUGCACAGGCAGGACAUCCAAACUCACGAAGCCAUCCUUACUUAU
rnacentral:snRNA from 1 species